rnacentral:lncRNA from 1 species
AUAUUGUGAAUGGAGUCUAAAAAUAUCAGACCGACAAGUAGUUCUAGGAAUACCGUUAAACAUAGGAUUAUAAAUUGUUUGUAUAUAACGAAUAAAGGCAUCAGAAGAAGGAAAACUAAAAGGCAAACAACCCACAGCUACCAUUUUAGCUAUUUCUUCCUGGUCCCUCAAUUUAUUAUACUUCUUCGCUACGUGACCGGUUGUUGGGUCCAUUCUAGUUUGCGUUGGCCCACCAACAUCCCCACCACCUUGUGCAAUAUUUAACUCUCUUUUGUGAUCUUCAUUUAUAUGUUUCAUUAACGUACCUGUACCC